GACGAACGCUGGCGGCGUGCCUAAUACAUGCAAGUAGAACGCUGAAGGAGGAGCUUGCUUCUCUGGAUGAGUUGCGAACGGGUGAGUAACGCGUAGGUAACCUGCCUGGUAGCGGGGGAUAACUAUUGGAAACGAUAGCUAAUACCGCAUAACAGUAGAUAUCGCAUGAUAUCUACUUGAAAGGUGCAAUUGCAUCACUACCAGAUGGACCUGCGUUGUAUUAGCUAGUUGGUGAGGUAACGGCUCACCAAGGCGACGAUACAUAGCCGACCUGAGAGGGUGAUCGGCCACACUGGGACUGAGACACGGCCCAGACUCCUACGGGAGGCAGCAGUAGGGAAUCUUCGGCAAUAGACGGAAGUCUGACCGAGCAACGCCGCGGGAGUGAAGAAGGGUUUCGGAUCGUAAAGCCCUGUUGUAAGAGAAGAACGAGUGUGAGAGUGGAAAGUUCACUCUGUGACGGUAGCUUACCAGAAAGGGACGGCUAACUACGUG
rnacentral:rRNA from 1 species